rnacentral:rRNA from 1 species
UCGAGAAUCAUUCGCAAUGGACGAAAGUCUGACGGUGCGACGCCGCGUGGAGGAUGACGGCCCUCGGGUUGUAAACUCCUGUCAUGAGGGAGUAAGGCAUCUGGCAGGCAAUGGCUGGAUGUUUGAUAGUACCUCAAGAGGAAGGGACGGCUAACUUCGUGCCAGCAGCCGCGGUAAUACGAAGGUCCCAAGCGUUGUUCGGAAUCACUGGGCGUAAAGCGCGUGUAGGCGGCGCGGUAAGUCAGAUGUGAAAUCCCGGGGCUCAACCUCGGAACUGCAUCCGAUACUGCCGUGCUGGAGGACUGGAGAGGGAUGUGGAAUUCUCGGUGGAGCAGUGAAAUGCGUAGAGAUCGAGAGGAACACCAACGGCGAAGGCAGCAUCCUGGACAGAUCCUGACGCUGAGACGCGAAGGCUGGGGGAGCGAACGGGAUUAGAUACCCCCGUAGUCC